UUUUAAAAUUCAUCUAUUUGCACUAUUAAAAACUAGCAUGACUGAUGGAAUAACCAAGUAGUGACACGUGAAAUGCCACAUGUACCUUAUAUUGAUGUGCAUGGAUAAUUUUUUAACAAUAAAAAUAGAUAAAAAUUUUAAUA
rfam:Gossypium hirsutum cultivar TM-1 chromosome 22, whole genome shotgun sequence